UGCUAUACGAGAGUAUCCUAGUGGCGAACGGGUGAGUAACGCGUUGGUGACCUACCCCAAAGUGUGGGAUAACAGUUCGAAAGGACUGCUAAUACCGCAUGUGGUUGUCAGAUUUAGAAACUGAUAACUAAAGGAGCAAUUCGCUUUGGGAGGGACCUGCGUCCCAUCAGCUAGUUGGUGAGGUAACGGCUCACCAAGGCUACGACGGGUAGGGGACCUGAGAGGGUGACCCCCCACAAUGGAACUGAAACACGGUCCAUACACCUACGGGUGGCAGCAGUAGGGAAUAUUGCACAAUGGGCGAAAGCCUGAUGCAGCAACGCCGCGUGUGCGAUGAAGGCCUUCGGGUCGUAAAGCACUUUUCUGAGGGAUGAGCAAGGACAGUACCUCAGGAAUAAGUCUCGGCUAACUACGUGCCAGCAGCCGCGGUAAAACGUAGGAGGCAAGCGUUAUCCGGAUUCACUGGGCGUAAAGCGCGUGCAGGCGGUUCGUUAAGUCAGAUGUGAAAGCCCUGGGCUCAACCUGGGAACUGCAUUUGAAACUGGCGGACUAGAGUUUAGUAGAGGGGAGUGGAAUUUCAGGUGUAGCGGUGAAAUGCGUAGAUAUCGGAAGGAACACCAGUGG
rnacentral:rRNA from 1 species